UUCCUACGGGAGGCUGCAGUAGGGAAUAUUGCACAAUGGAGGAAACUCUGAUGCAGCGACGCCGCGUGAGUGACGAAGGCCUUCGGGUUGUAAAGCUCUGUUCUUAGGGAAAAAGAAAGUGAUUGUACCUAAGGAGAAAGGACCGGCUAACUUCGUGCCAGCAGCCGCGGUAAGACGAGGGGUCCAAGCGUUGUUCGGAAUCAUUGGGCGUAAAGCGGGUGUAGGUGGCUCUGUAAGUCAGGAGUGAAAGCCCCGAGCUUAACUCGGGAAGUGCUUUUGAUACUGCAGAGCUUGAGUGUGGGAGAGGAUCGUGGAAUUCCAGGUGUAGUGGUGAAAUACGUAGAUAUCUGGAGGAACACCGGUGGCGAAGGCGGCGAUCUGGCCCAACACUGACACUGAGACCCGAAAGCAUGGGGAUCAAACAGGAUUAGAUACCCCAGUAGUCCGU
rnacentral:rRNA from 1 species